GUAGGCCCUGCCAUGCCCAGGCUCCUGUGAGACUCUCAACACAGUCCCACAAAACAUCUCCAGAUUGGAGAGCCCUGGCUUAGAAGGCUGGGCUAUUUGUUGCAUGAGGUGUUGCCCAGACGGAUGCAGACAGAGGGUUCUGCGGGUGGGAUCAAGCAUACCCCCAGCACCUCUGCAACUGACCGAGACUGAGCUGGACAGGUGACACAAGCAAAGGAAGGGACCAUCCAGAGGGACCUGGACAAGCUUGAGAAGUGGGACGACAAGAACCCAGUGAGGUUCAACAAGUUCAAGGGCCUGCCUUCGGGACCGGGCAAUUCAAGAAUCACCAAGCUUUUCAGAUCUUCCAGUCCAGCUGUUAACCCAGCACCACCACAAUCACCCCUAACACAUAUCCCUAAGUGCGACAUCCAGAGUCCUCAGAAUUUGCAUUUUUUCAUGACAAACCUUUUCCUUGCCAGAAGGAUCUUUAGUGUUAGUCACUUUCUUAGCCUGUAAAUAAGAAAUCAUCAGAUUCAAUUAAAUGUAUCUAUGCUGGUGCAGUAUUAGCCACAAA